rnacentral:rRNA from 1 species
UACCUACCCUGACAUUGCCAGGAACCUUGCAGAGAUGUGAGGGUGCCCGAAAGGGAGCCUGGACACAGGUGCUGCAUGGCCGUCGUCAGCUCGUGUCGUGAGAUGUGGGUUAAGUCCCGCAACGAGCGCAACCCUUGUCAUUAGUUGCUACGAAAGGGCACUCUAAUGAGACUGCCGGUGACAAACCGGAGGAAGGUGGGGAUGACGUCAGGUCAUCAUGGCCCUUAAGGGUAGGGCUACACACGUCAUACAAUGGCCGGUACAGAGGGCAGCCAACCCGCGAGGGGGAGCCAAUCCCAGAAAACCGGUCGUAGUCCGGAUCGCAGUCUGCAACUCGACUGCGUGAAGGUGGAAUCGCUAGUAAUUGCAGGUCAGCAUACUGCAGUGAAUUCGUUCCCGGGCCUUGUACACACCGCCCGUCACACCAUGGAAGCUGGUAGUGCCCGAAGUCGUUACUCUAACCAUUCGUGGGAGAGGAUGCCGAAGGCAGGACUGGUGACUGGGGUGAAGUCGUAACAAGGUAGCCGUACCGGAAGGUGUGGCUGGAUCACCUCCUU